rnacentral:rRNA from 1 species
UACGAAGGUCCCAAGCGUUGUUCGGAAUCACUGGGCGUAAAGGGAGCGUAGGCGGCGUGGUAAGUCAGAUGUGAAAUCCCGGGGCUCAACCCCGGAACUGCAUCCGAUACUGCCAUGCUAGAGUGAUGGAGAGGUAGCUGGAAUUCUUGGUGUAGCAGUGAAAUGCGUAGAGAUCAAGAGGAACACUCGUGGCGAAAGCGAGCUACUGGACAUUUACUGACGCUGAGGCUCGAAGGCCAGGGUAGCGAAAGGGAUUAGAAACC